AACGAACGCUGGCGGCAUGCCUAACACAUGCAAGUCGAACGAAGGCUUCGGCCUUAGUGGCGCACGGGUGCGUAACGCGUGGGAAUCUGCCCUUGGGUUCGGAAUAACGUCGGGAAACUGACGCUAAUACCGGAUGAUGACGUAAGUCCAAAGAUUUAUCGCCCAAGGAUGAGCCCGCGUCGGAUUAGCUAGUUGGUGAGGUAAAAGCUCACCAAGGCGACGAUCCGUAGCUGGUCUGAGAGGAUGAUCAGCCACACUGGGACUGAGACACGGCCCAGACUCCUACGGGAGGCAGCAGUGGAGAAUAUUGGACAAUGGGCGAAAGCCUGAUCCAGCAAUGCCGCGUGAGUGAUGAAGGCCUUAGGGUUGUAAAGCUCUUUACCCGGGAUGAUAAUGACCGUACCGGGAGAAUAAGCUCCGGCUAACUCCGUG
rnacentral:rRNA from 1 species